rnacentral:tRNA from 1 species
GGGGGAGUAGCUCAGUGGUUAGAGCAGGGCGCUCAUAACGCCUUGGUCGGGGGUUCAAAUCCCUCCUCCCCCACCA